UACAGAGGGGCAAGCGUUGUUCGGAAUUACUGGGCGUAAAGGGCGCGUAGGCGGCCCGCUAAGUCGAACGUGGAAUCCCCGGGCUCAACCCGGGAACUGCGUCCGAUACUGGCAGGCUUGAAUCCGGGAGAGGGAUGCGGAAUUCCAGGUGUAGCGGUGAAAUGCGUAGAUAUCUGGAGGAACACCGGUGGCGAAGGCGGCAUCCUGGACCGGCAUUGACGCUGAGGCGCGGAAAAGCGUGGGGAGCAAACAGGG
rnacentral:rRNA from 1 species